UGAGCCGGCCGGGUGACCGCGGCCGAGGUCCCGAACCAGCCAGUGUUCUGGCUAGGCGGGGGUCGAGGAAAGUCCGGACUCCGCAGGGCAGAGUGGUUGCUAACGGCAACCCGGGGCAACCCGAGGGCAGAUGUGCAACAGAAAGUAGACCGCCCCGGAAGUCUUCGGACCACGGGGUAAGGGUGAAAGGGUGCGGUAAGAGCGCACCGGCGGGGCAGGUGACUGUCCCGGCCAGGUAAACCCCACUCGGAGCAAGGCAUCACGGCGGCGCGGGUUUCGCGCUGCCCGAUUAGACGUUUGAGGGCGGCCCGCCUGAGUCUAAAGGUAGCCGCUUGAGGCGCCCAGCGAUGGUGCGUCCAGAUGGAUGGUCACCGCCGCGACCGCUCGCCUCGGCGGGCGAAGCGGCACAGAAUCCGGCUUACACGCCGGCUCAAUCG
rfam:Corynebacterium uterequi strain DSM 45634, complete genome.